UCCCUGUUUUGAGCUGCUAUGCCUCUUAAGUUUCUCUUCAAGACAUCAAUCUCAUAGUUAUUUUUAAUAAGAUAAGAACUUGAGAAAGACAAUCUUUCUAGAGUCCCUUUUGCUAUCGUCCGGUCUCCUCUUUGAGAUGCCAAAUUUAUAGGUUUCACAGAAUUUUUUUUUUUUUGAGCAAAAGAAAUUUUCUUUUGAUCUUCUCUAGAGAGUUACAAGUAAGUUUUCUCUGGGUCAUUUGAUUUAAAUGAAUCGAGGAAAGAUAGAAUCUUUAAAAUUUUAUUUCUGGUUAUAGAAAAGAAUCUGUUAUUUGAACUCUCUUUGUGUAUAAUUUAUUAACGAAGUAAAGAUUGGUUUUGUCUGUUGAACACAUUCAGUUGAUCGAGAAUUACGAGUUUAUCUUUUGUACACUCAUAUUCCAUGGGAAGAUGUAUUUUCGGCAGAUAUCUCCACUAAAAGGAACCUUCCGUAAAUGCAAUAUCUAUGAUAUUCUCGCCGGCGAUCGUUGAAUCCUGUCACAACCUCCCCUUGUAUUUGGCCCUCACUAGAACUCUUCAUCAUAAAAAAAAGAGGACCGCAAGCAUUGAGUCCAACAUCUCAUCGUGCAACAACCAUCAGAUUCAACCAUUGAAAAAUCAGUUUCAUUUUCUACAAGCAACAGUCCUUAGGUCACUCUAUCUCUUUCCUGCUCUCAUUGUUGCCAUCAUAUUUGCUUCUCUUGAAAUGACUUCUUCAUGUAGACUAAAAUAGGUCUCAACAUCAUUGCCUUCUAAAAUAUCAUUGUCUUUGCUUAAUGAUCUAGAGUAGGUUUGGACAAACAUAAAAAUUUAGUAGUUCACUUUGUCUUAGGUGAUUUGGCAAGGAAGAGUCUAAGACUCACGGUUCAGAGAUGGAGAGCUAAAAAAACAAAGGAUGUAUGCCAUUGACACCAAAAGAGAUUCAUUAACUUCUUUUAGCUUCAUGUUUUCCUAGAUAUGUCACGGUUUACUCUACCGGAGAUUUUACUCUCGAUGUAGCAUUAGUAUUUUGCUUCUUGACGUGAAGGUACACUACUUUUUAGUUAGUAGAACCAACACGAACACUCAUUUACCAGGGCAGGUUUAAAUCCAAAAACCAAUAAUUUUGAUAACAUUUUUUUUUAUUUCUCACUUAUUAGCUUAGCGUAAAUAUGUUCCACAUAGAUAUUGUUGGGGACGUAAGGGGCAUCAGGACUACUUAUAAUGAAGCGACUAAGAGUACACACAACGCAUGAUGAUCACCAUGAGCAUAGAAAGGUCUUACAGAUUUCUUUGCUGUCCUCUCAGGCACUUAAAUGUAUGCCCAAGUUUUUCUGACGUAAUGGCUAAGCUCCUUGAUGGAAACCUGCUGCAUAGGGGUGAUGUACUUAAGAUCAUUCCGGUGAAAAAUGGUGACUGUGUGGGAAAUGAUGAUGUUGAAGGUGGAGAAGGUGAGGCCACAGCUUCAAGUCACACCUCUGUUGAUGGAAGAGAGACAAGUUAGGAGGAAACUGUGAAGGAAGAUGGGAGUUUCAGAAAGUAGGCACGGUGUGAGUAACAUCCAAAACACAAGGGGAGAUUAAGUUAAAGGACAUGAUUGUGUUUAAGUUACAUUAGUUUUUAACUUAGAUCAUAACUAGAAUUUUCUUCUGUAAAAAAUACCACAACACAUGUGUUGAUGGAAUUAAGACAGACAUGGUUAAA